UUUAUUUUUUGUGUGGGUAGAAUUUUUUUCUUUCUUUCCCUGAAAUAUUUUUGCCCUAUUCUUUUCCCCCCCUCCCUAGGGAAUGUGACUACAGAAUGAUGUGUGGAGUCAUUUAGCUUUAAUUCUAUAGCCCUAUGCACUUAUUUUGUUUUUUAUUGUGCCAUUUUUACUUUUUUUUGUGCCAUCCAGUUUUUUAUUGUGCCAUCCAGUUCAACCUACAAGCCCAUGGAUGGUACCUACAGCUUUGGCAAGAACCCCCACUUUACUUCCAUACAGAUUUGAAACCAGACAUAGCUCUUUCACACUAAUGUUGGAUCCAUGUCAAAUACAUAGAGGACUACGAAGUUCAAUGAAAUGUAUUCUUGCCCAGGCUCAUCUCGAAAUCCUGGGCUCAAACAAAAAUUAGCUGGAUGUGCUGAGACCAGAAAUCUGAAGUCAAGGUGUCAGCAGUACCACAGUCCCUUUGAAGGCUUUCAAUGAGAAUCAUUACUGCCUCUUCCAGACUCCAGUACCUCCAGUCAGUCCUUGACAAUACUUAGCUUGAUGUCGCACAACUACAACCUCUGCCUCCACCUUCAUAAGGCUCUGUCUGUAUCUGUCUUCUCCUCUUUUUAUGGAUUUUUCCUUUUUCAUUGGAUUUAGGGACCACCAGCACAAUCCAGGAUGAUCUUAUGGGGAGAAUCUUAGUUUAAUUAAAUUUGAAAGGCCUUUUACUUUUCUACAAAUAAUGACAAAUUUACAGAUUCUGAGUAGACAUAUCUUUUGGGAGGCUGCCAUUCAACCCACUACAAACAAUAUACACUAAUCUUCUCAAGAUAAUUCAGCCUUGCUCCUCAAUAUGCUCUCUGUUGCCCCUGCCAUCCUUGAGGCUGAAGCUCCUCUUGGGCACCGCCAUGCUGGCCAGUAUUCUUCUCCAUGCACUCCAGUCAAGGGCAUUUCUUAACUGUAGGUUUCAUCUGUCAUUGUAAUUCAUCUGUA